rnacentral:misc_RNA from 1 species
GAGCACACCCCUCCGUGCGUGGCACCUCAGGGACCAGUGCAUCCCCACUCGCUGUGGAGCAAAGCCAAGUAGAGCCCCACCCCCUCCCUGCUAAAUGGCCGAGUCGCUUCUGGUGGUGGUGACAGGGCCAAGCGCCUGCGACCCAGCGAGCGUCAGAGCGAUGGAUCGCCGCGGAUGUUGACGGUCAGGUCUCCUGGAUGGCGCUGCAUCGGAGCAAGCUGCGGCAGUGAGCACGCGCCUGUGUCACCCAUGUGAUGGGUAGUGUGCCAGCGCGACUCGAACGCAUCUCACCAGACCCCCUCACAAGGCCCACUGCUGGUGUGGGGAGUCAGGGUGUCACGCCGAGGGGGACGCACGAGGUAUGGCGACUGGCAUGACUGGCAGCGGCUGUGGGGCGACCUGCGAGGCGGGUACGGCUCGAGUGUGAGGCAGGGGCCGUCCUCCGGUCGCUUUGUGGGGGGGGGGAGGCGGCACGGCUGCACUGACUCUUCCCCGCGGCUGCUGAGAGCCCAGGUGGGCUCGUGAGAUGGUCGGGGCAAAGCAGACCCCUAACGCUUGCGCUUUCGCAGAGAGCGGACCCGCGGAGGUAUCCAAUUCUAUUUUUCGUUCCUCACCCCACCCUAACCACGGUCUCCAGCGGCUGCUCAUACCCCUCCCCCUCUCCUCCGGUUUGGCGUGUCGCGGUGCCGCAGUGUUUGUUCAUGCGUUUGACUGACCAGUUGUGGAGAUCCGCGAACGCCUCUUUCUCCGUCCACUCUGACCCCUCCCCCUCGUAAUUGUUUAGGCUUCCCACUGGUUGUGUUUGCUGCUGGUACCCAAAAACAGAAGACGCAUGCGAGAUCCGUGGAGUAGCGGGCAAGGGCGAUGCCGGUGACAGCGAUGAUGUAAGCCUCAGUCAGCAGACCCUAGCGGCCCUCAGCAGCUAUGGCCGACAAUCCUGGGCUCUACCUCACUCCCUCCACGAAACCAACAAAACAGAAGCCAACCCCGCGUGCGACUCGUUCUACAAUGCAUCCUUCUCAGCGACGCGCAUAGAGGAUAACCCGCCGGGGGAGGUGGUGCGCUUCGGUGUCUAGAGUGAGGCCCCCCCUCUGCCCCACACUGCAGCCUGUUCUUUCUCGCUGGUACGUCUGCUGCUUCUUCCGUUGCGUCUGCAUGUCACGGUAUGCAUUGGCCCCCCCCUCCCCCGACAUACACACACACACACACACACACACACAACGGUGCUCUUCCUGACACUGAUUUCCUCUCUUCUCCCGUUUCACUCUUUUGGGACUUUCCUGAACCGCCACAG